GAUGAACGCUGGCGGCGUGCUUAACACAUGCAAGUCGAACGGAAGUAAGAGCUUCGGUUUUUGCUUUAGUGGCGAACGGGUGAGUAACGCGCGAGGAACCUGCCUUUCAGUGGGGGACAACAGUUGGAAACGACUGCUAAUACCGCAUAAUGUUUCCGGUCCGCAUGGACUGGAAACCAAAGCUUUAUGUGCUGAAAGAUGGCCUCGCGUCUGAUUAGAUAGUUGGUGGGGUAACGGCCUACCAAGUCAACGAUCAGUAGCCGGUCUGAGAGGAUGAACGGCCACAUUGGGACUGAGACACGGACCAA
rnacentral:rRNA from 1 species